UACGUGAAACCGCAUGCAGGUAAACGGGUGGCGUCAAGCUGCAAGCCCGGAGGAUUCAGCUGGCUAGGAUGUUGUGUAUGCGCCUGGCGCAUCUAUCAGCCGGAGUAAGAUGUGAUAGUCCACUGGUAAACGGUGGGCCCGGCCGCAAGGUUGGGAUAUGUGUACCGGGCGGAAGCCGGAGCAUGCUAUUCGUCUGUUGGGCUGUCUAGUCAGUGCACUUUCUCUGUGGUGAACACCACGACCGGUGGAAUUGCCAGUCUGCUGUAGUCAAGUCGUAUUCAGUCGGUUCUUGUAGCCAACUGGGUGCGAUCACAGGCAAACUCAGUAAACGGCGUAGGGGUGUCUCGGCAUCCUUGCGUGUUAUCGGCUGCUGGUUGUCAACGGGCCUGCCUGAUGAUUGUUGUAACCGUCAUUGGGUGGUCUGGUGGACUAUGGUGGUAAGAAUAACUGUGCAAGGCAUCGGAGUUCUCGGCCUCAAAUGCAUCCUGCAUACACGUUACAAGUGGAGUGGGGUGCCAUUGCAGCCUGCCUGUUGUUGGGUCUGAUUGUCGUGUCGCCUGCGCAAAGUGGGCCCGGCAGUGGCCUGAUGCGGGAUGGGUUGUGGAUGGUGCCUCCUGUGUAGGGUGCGGUGGGUCAAAUAGUCAGUGGUGUAGUGG
rnacentral:rRNA from 1 species